AUGCCCGUCGGUCGCCCCUCGGUUCGUUGGUUUGCCCCUGUAUUCUUUCUAUUUUCAGAUACCUGCUGCUUCAUGUUCGUUUCAGCAAAUACACAAUUUCAGCAAGCUGCUACCCAAUCUGAUGGAAACAUAGUUUACUUUGCAUUACCACAACUUUUCUCACCGUUAAAUUUAGGUGAUUACCUAAACUUUGCCUUACCUCGACUUCUCUCACCGUUAUACGGAUUUCACUCUUCAAGCAGAUGCGAACAUACUUAUUCCGGUGAUUCUCCGUCGCUGUCAGAGAAUCAUGAUCGUUCCCAGUUUACGGACCUUACAAACAAUUCCACAUCAGGGAAAGAUAAUCAUGCGUAUGAGACUGUGCAUGCUAUAAAACCGCAGGGCAGCAAGGGAUGGUAUGCCCGAAUGUCUGAUGAAAAGAAGGCUGAAUACCUCCUGAAAUGGCAUCAGGCACGGGCUGAGAAAAAGGCUGCUAAUGCCAACUGUCAGCAAGUAUCUCAACAACAUUCUUCUUCAUGUUUGUCUCUGCAACGUACGCGUUUCACCGAUAUAACCAACACAGGUACAACUGCAAGCUUCGGGAGUUCUGAUCGUCAACCUGCGGUUACUAAUGUUGCAUGCAAAAAACAAGGUUGGUACACCGGUCUGUCCGAAGAGAAGAAAGCUCAACACCUGCAGAAGCUCCGGUUGGCCCGACUAGAAAAGAAAGUUGCAGCAAAAAGUGUCACUGCUAAUGUACCUCAGUCGCAUACCCCACCUCUUUCCACAGUCAUGUACGUGGGCCCAGUUGACCAUGAUACAUAUUCCCCUCUACGCAUGAGGGAAGUAGCACUGAUCGACACUGGCAUGCGAAUUAUCUUCCUACACAUUUUUUAA
rnacentral:rRNA from 1 species